GUGGGGAAUCUUAGACAAUGGGCGCAAGCCUGAUCUAGCCAUGCCGCGUGAGCGAUGAAGGUCUUAGGAUUGUAAAAUUCUUUCACCGGGGACGAUAAUGACGGUACCCGGAGAAGAAGCUCCGGCUAACUUCGUGCCAGCAGCCGCGGUAAUACGAAGGGGGCUAGCGUUGCUCGGAAUUACUGGGCGUAAAGGGCGCGUAGGCGGACAGCUUAGUCAGAGGUGAAAGCCCAGGGCUCAACCUUGGAAUUGCCUUUGAUACUGGCUGUCUUGAGUACGAGAGAGGUGAGUGGAACUACGAGUGUAGAGGUGAAAUUCGUAGAUAUUCGGAAGAACACCAGUGGCGAAGGCGACUCACUGGCCCGUUACUGACGCUGAGGCGCGAAAGCGUGGGGAGCAAACAGGAUUAGAUACCCCAGUAGUCC
rnacentral:rRNA from 1 species